GGGAGCUGCUGGGGCCACUUCCCUUGGAGACCUGGCCAUGCACCUGUUGGCAGCCAGGCCAGGUUCUGCUCUGCCCCUCACACUGAGCAGCCUCUUUGUGAAUAGGAGUCAUCAUGGCCUCUAGUUCUGCCUCUAGGUACGAUGUUGCAUGGAUCCAGGAAUGCUUUGGGUGAAAGGGCCCAGCAGGACUGAGGCCUGGGAGUGAGCUCUGUAACCCUCUGUCUCCCCAUCAGUAAAACGGAGAGCGAAGGGAAAGCAGCAUGGAUUUGCUGAGCACCUACUAUGCAUCAGACGCUGUGUUCUAGGCAAGGGGGAUACACCUGAUGGAAGAAGGUCCUUCCCUAGACGUAGCUAACAUCCCAGUGUGGGAGAUGACACGAAACAAUGUGCCCCACCUAAGUGCUGACAGCCUAAAAGUCCACCAUUAAAGCCAUUCUUCGGGUUUAAGGCAUUGAUCUUCACCAUCAUCUCCCAUUAUUAUAUCUGCUUGCUCUCAUGGAGACAGGGGUCACUG
rnacentral:lncRNA from 1 species